rnacentral:tRNA from 1 species
GAGGGUAUAACUCAAGUUGUAGAGCAUAUGCUUAGCAUGCAUAAGGUCCUGGGUUCAAUCCCCAGUAUCUCCU